rnacentral:rRNA from 1 species
CCUACGGGUGGCAGCAGUGGGGAAUAUUGCGCAAUGGGCGAAAGCCUGACGCAGCGACGCCGCGUGAGGGAUGAAGGUCUUCGGAUCGUAAACCUCUGUCAGCAGGGAAGAACGGUCAGUGUGCUAAUCAGCAGUGAAUUGACGGUACCUGCAAAGGAAGCACCGGCUAACUCCGUGCCAGCAGCCGCGGCAAUACGGAGGGUGCGAGCGUUAAUCGGAAUUACUGGGCGUAAAGCGCUCGUAGGCGGGAUGUCAAGUCAAGGGUGAAAUCCCCGGGCUCAACGUGGGAACUGCCUUUGAAACUGGCAGACUGGAGUGUGUGAGAGGAUAGUGGAAUUCCAGGUGUAGGAGUGAAAUCCGUAGAUAUCUGGAGGAACACCAGUGGCGAAGGCGACUAUCUGGCACAUAACUGACGCUGAGGAGCGAAAGCGUGGGUAGCAAACAGGAUUAGAUACCCCUGUAGUC